ACUUGGUUCCACGCUUGCUGGCUCCGGUUCUGAGUGCACUCCCUUGCCAUGUGGCCCCAUUGCCUGCAUGUAUGUCAUUGGAUAUUGGCCCUGCCAUUAUAUCGGGAGGGUGAAGGUUGGCUCCCCGGGAGUUGGUGUAAAAGGGGUUGCUGUAGAGGCUGUAGGGGUAGCUGUACUUGGUUGAACGGUGGGUCAAGGGUAACCUCUGUUUAGGUGCCUGUGAUGUCUCCUUGCAUCAAAAUGUUGGUCCGCUAGUCGGGCCGCUUCGGUUAGGGUGAGGCGUUUGCGGUCUCUCACCCAUUCUUGUGCCUCUGGAGACAAGCCAUUAAAGAAUUGUUCCAACAGCAUCAAUUGCCGUAACUCCUCCAUAGUGGUGGCUUGGCUCGCUUGUAUCCACCCCUGUGAUGCUUGGUCCAGCUUGUGGGCCCACUCGGCAUGAGAGUCUCUCAGGUUUGCGCAAUCCCCUAAACUUGCGCCGGUAUGCCUCCGGGGUAAUAGCAUACCAUGCUAGUAUGGCCCGUUUUACUUUGUCAUAAUCCUUGCUGUCUUCCCUGGGUACAGCGCUACAGGCUUCUGCUGCCCGACCUGACCGUUUGCCUGCUAGUAACGGUACCCAUACUGCCUGCUCCAAAUCAUGUAAAUCACACAGCCUCUCGAAAUCUUG